AUUGAACGCUGGCGGCAGGCCUAACACAUGCAAGUCGAGCGGAUGAAGGGAGCUUGCUCCUGGAUUCAGCGGCGGACGGGUGAGUAAUGCCUAGGAAUCUGCCUGGGAGUGGGGGAUAACGUCCGGAAACGGGCGCUAAUACCGCAUACGUCCUGAGGGAGAAAGUGGGGGAUCUUCGGACCUCACGCUAUCAGAUGAGCCUAGGUCGGAUUAGCUAGUUGGUGGGGUAAAGGCCUACCAAGGCGACGAUCCGUAACUGGUCUGAGAGGAUGAUCAGUCACACUGUAACUGAGACACGGUCCAGACUCCUACGGGAGGCAGCAGUGGGGAAUAUUGGACAAUGGGCGAAAGCCUGAUCCAGCCAUGCCGCGUGUGUGAAGAAGGUCUUCGGAUUGUAAAGCACUUUAAGUUGGGAGGAAGUGCAGUAAGUUAAUACCUUGCUGUUUUGACGUUACCAACAGAAUAAGCACCGGCUAACUUCGUG
rnacentral:rRNA from 1 species